rnacentral:rRNA from 1 species
CCCGCACAAGCGGAGGAACAUGUGGUUUAAUUCGAUGAUACGCGAGGAACCUUACCAGGGCUUGAAAUGUCGGAAGUAGUGAUCCGAAAGGUGAUCGACCUGUCAAAUCAGGAGCCGUCACAGGUGCUGCAUGGCUGUCGUCAGCUCGUGCCGUGAGGUGUCGGGUUAAGUCCCAUAACGAGCGCAACCCUCGUUGCCAGUUAAUUUCUCUGGCGAGACUGCCCCGCAAAACGGGGAGGAAGGUGGGGAUGACGUCAAGUCAGCAUGGCCCUUAUGUCCUGGGCAACACACACGCUACAAUGGAUAGUACAACAGGUAGCAACGGAGCGAUCCUGAGCUAAUCCCCAAAACUAUCCCCAGUUCGGAUUGUAGGCUGAAACCCGCCUGCAUGAAGUCGGAGUUGCUAGUAACCGUGAAUCAGCAUGUCGCGGUGAAUACGUUCUCGGGCCUU